rnacentral:rRNA from 1 species
GACGGAGGAUGCAAACGUUGUUCGGAAUUACUGGGCGUAAAGCGCGUGUAGGCGGCCAUCUAAGUCGGGCGUGAAAUCCCACGGCUCAACCGUGGAAGUGCACUCGAAACUGGAUGGCUAGAGUCCUGGAGAGGAAGGUGGAAUGCUUGGUGUAGAGGUGAAAUUCGUAGAUAUCAAGCGGAACACCGGUGGCGAAGGCGGCCUCUGGACAGUGACUGACGCUGAC